GAGGAAGGUGGGGAUGACGUCAAAUCAUCAUGCCCUUUAUGACCUGGGCUACACACGUACUACAAUGGCGUUAAACAAAGAGAAGCAAGACCGCGAGGUGGAGCAAAACUCAAAAACAACGUCUCAGUUCAGAUUGCAGGCUGCAACUCGCCUGCAUGAAGUCGGAAUUGCUAGUAAUCGCGGAUCAGCAUGCCGCGGUGAAUACGUUCCCGGGCCUUGUACACACCGCCCGUCACACCAUGAGAGCCGGGGGGACCCGAAGUCGAUAGUCUAACCGCAAGGAGGACGUCGCCGAAGGUAAAACUGGUGAUUGGGGUGAAGUCG
rnacentral:rRNA from 1 species